UNGGGCCUUAGUAUCACUCUCAGUUACC
rnacentral:piRNA from 1 species